GAACUACUCCCUCCGUUCGGAAUUACUUGUCUCGGAAAUGGAUGUAUCUAGAACUAAAAUACAUCUAGAUAUAUCCAUUUCUGCGACAAGUAAUUCCAAACGGAGAGAGUAGUUC
rnacentral:pre_miRNA from 1 species